CUGGGUCACCGAGCGCUUCGGCGCUCACCCCCACCCUUCGCUUCCCGCCCCACGAUCGGCGUCAGGCGGGCCCCCUCCGGGGGACCCUCCGGCCGAAAACCAAACCCUCGCAACACUUUGCAGCCUGAAUAAAAAAGCAAAUAAUUA
rnacentral:misc_RNA from 1 species